rnacentral:lncRNA from 1 species
UGGGAGAGGAAAUGGGAGGGUUAAGCCUGUCCUUAGUAACUGAACAGAGAAAGAGAUUCCCAGUCAGGCUGGCAGUGGACAGCAGAGGGCCCAAAAGCUUGGCUCAGAAAACCUCAGACUUGGAGUGUGUAGAUGGGAGGGGAUGGUCACAAAGUGACUCCUGGGCUCUGAGCCCUCUCUAGGGAGGCUUGCUGACAGAGCAGGGGAAGAUCUAUCAAGAGAUGCCUUGGUGGUCAAGAGCAACUUAGGAUUACCUCAAUUUAUCCAGUGCUUUUCGAGUUGGUGUAUGAAGUGAAUGGUCCAACACCAUGAACAGGGCAUGAUGACAACAUUGCUAAGGCCCAGCUGAAGGCUUCUGGAAAGGUGUUUCCAUAGCUUUAUGUAAACAGCAAGGAAUUAGCCAAAGUCUGGUCAGGUGAGCAGGAAACAGAGGGCGGGCCUCGGCCAUCUGCAGUGGGGCAGCACAUUGGGAGUAUCACUGUAUCGCAAAUGAGUUAGUAAGCCACCUGUUCAUGUCCAAACUGUGCUUCCAGUCUGAAAUAAAAUCAAAUUGGAUAUUA